rnacentral:rRNA from 1 species
UGAACCAGCAAUUUGGAGGAAUGAAUAUAUUGUUGGGUUAAUAAAGUUCUAGAUAGUGAUGAUAAUGACAUUUUUAGUCUAUAUGUCUUGACCAAAUCUCGUGCCAGCAGUCGCGGUAAUACGAGGAAGACUAGUGUUAUUCAUGUUUAUUAGGUUUAAAGGGUACCUAGACGGUAUAUAUAGCCCCUAAAGGGUACUUAUUUACUAGAGUUUUAGGUGAGAAGAUGAGUAUUUUAGGUGUAGAGAUGAAAUUUUUUGAUGCCUUAAGGACUGGUAAAGGCGAAAGCGAUCUUCUAUGUAAAAACUGACGUUGAGGAACGAAGGCCUGGGUAGCGACUAGGAUUAGAUACCCUAAUAGUCCAGGGAGAAAAUUAUGAAUGUCAUAGAUUAAGUUUACUUAGUAUAUAAAUGAAAGUGUAAGCAUUCCACCUCAAGAGUAAUGUGGCAACGCAGGAACUGAAAUCAUUAGACCGUUUUUGAGACCAGUAGUGAUGUAUGUUAUUUAAUUCGAUGAUCCACGAAAAACCUUACCACAAUUUGUAUCUUACAAGUGUUGCACGGCUGUCUUCAGUUAGUGUCGUGAGAUUAUGGUUAGUUUCAUUAAAUUGACGAAAACCCUUGCUUUAUUUUAUUUAUAUAAAGCAGUUACAUCUGUAUAGAUUUGUUAAGAGGGAUUAAGACAAGUCAUCAUGACCUUAAUAUUGUGGGCUAUAGACGUGCCACAUAUUCCUAUACAAAGAGAUGCAAAAUUGUAAAUUAGAGCUAAUCUCAUAAAGUA